rnacentral:lncRNA from 1 species
GAUCUCAGCCAAGCUCAGGUCGUUACCAGCCAUUGCCCAAGAUCUAGAGACACAAAACAGCUGCAGGUCUACCAAGUGGGGCCAUCCCACCUCUUCAGGGGAAUUGGCAAAGGGCUUUCCCUCUAAUUAUGCACUCCUUGGAGACCCGUUAGGCUUGACCCCUGUGCUACUUAGGGUUACUAUUGUUGUGACAAAAUCCCAUGACCAAAAAGCAAGUUGGGGAGGAAAGGGUUUAUUUGGCUUACACUUUUACAUCAGUGUUCAUCACCAAAGGAAGUCAGGACAGGAGCUCUCAGAACCUGGAGGCAGAAGCUGAUGCAGAGGCCAUGGAAGGGUGCUGCUUACUGGCUUGCUCCUCAUGACUUGUUCAGCCUGCUUCCUCUAUAGAACCCAGGACCACCCACCCAGGGAUGGCACCACCCCUAAUGGACUUGACCACCCCUUAUUAAUCACUAAUUAAGAAAAUGUCCGUGCGUGGUGGCGCACGCCUUUAAUCCCAGCACUCGGGAGGCAGAGGCAGGCAGAUUUCUGAGUUCAAGGCCAGCCUGGUCUACAAAGUGAGUUCCAGGACAGCCAGGGCUAUAAAGAGAAACCCUGUCUUGAAAAACAAAACAAAACAAAACAAAACAAAACAAAAAAACCAACAACAACAAAAAAGAAAGGCGGCUUCUCAUGUAUGCUGGGCAGUCGGGUUGGGCUGUGUCCUUCCUCUGAGAUGAGGCCUAUGAACAAAUCCUUGAAGAUGAGAAGAGUCAGGAACCAUGAGCAUGCACCAUGGGGGCAGUGAGGAGAUGGAUCACAGUCUCGGUGAGGAUGGGCACAGCCUACUUCUCUCCUUCACUCAGCUGUGGAUGGACCUCACUUUCUCAAUCCAAGUCUCCUGUUGAGGGAGUGUCUGGCUUGGACAAAUGGCGAGAACUUGAGUGAUGUGGUCUGUGAUAGGGUUACCUCUUCUUAUGAGUUACUCUUAUUGCUGCCUCUCAAACUCUCAUGUGUCCCACGUGUGAGAGGACACUGAUGCCAUGGGGAGCCUUCAGGGCUGAUUCAAUGCAUGGGAUUGGCUGUAAACGAA